AUUUAUUGGAGGUGACGCCUGCCCGAUGACCCCUCUUAACCUAAAUAACUUUAGGGAACAAGGGUUCAAUGGCCGCGGUAUUUCUGACCGUGAUAAUGUAGCGAAAUCAAUCGUCACUUAAUUGCUGACCGGUAUGAAAGGUAUAACGAACGUUCCCCUGUCUCCUAAAAAGUGGCUAUGAAAUUGUAGGGGCCGUGCAUAUACGGCCCAUUCUCUGUAAGACGAAAAGACCCUAUUGAGCUUUACUAUACUCUUCCUGCUCUCCUAAAGUAACCUGGUAACCCCAGCUUUAUUUUAACCCUAGGAAGAGGGGUAGUUUCGUUGGGGCGACGACCUUCCAAACAGUAACGAAGGUUAACCAAGGUUCUUAAAUAGAAAGUAGCCUGACUGUUAGGGCUAUACCCCGCACAGACACUCCUGUGGGUCUAAGUGAUCCAUCCCGUUUUAAAAGACUGGAUGCCAAGACAUAAAAGUUACCAUAGGGAUAACAGCGUAAUUUUACUGAAGAGUUCUUAUCGAUAGUAAAGAUUGCGACCUCGAUGUUGAAUUGCGGUAUCCUGAGGGUGCAGCCGCUCUC
rnacentral:rRNA from 1 species